AGCAACCCGCUUGCAAUCAAGAUACAUCUCCAAUAAUUCUGUAUAUCCCUACCCAGGCUGAAGCCACUGAUAUACCUUAUGUGAGAGAUCCAGAUUGUUGAUACACACGCCAUUCUCUAAAACACCCCUCUUCCUUGUCGUUUAUUUGAGCAAGCACAAUAUUUGGCGGAAUUAGCCGGCCGUUGGGGGUCGCCAAAUCUUCCAUCCGUUGCUAAGAUUUCUCCGAGAACCCACCACUGCCAAUAUAUGUUUUAGCAUCGGCAAUCUGGGCUGCUCCAAUCGCCUCUGUGAAUUCCAAUUUUCAAUCGGUUCCUCAUAAAUGGCUAACCAGGAGGAUGGUCGUAACUCGUAAGGGUGAUGGUAUGCCAAAUGACUUGACAACCGUUCUGAUUUUGUUAGAGGAAGUUAUACAGAACUAUCAAAUAAACAUGUUGCUUAUCUCGUUUAUGAUCACAUUGAUUUGCCCACAAACACGCAAACGUAAACGGUGAGAGCGCUUAUUUUCAAGUCGGAAGCUAUUUGAUGGCGACAUUGCAUGCUUUCUCGACCUAUCCACCCGGAAGUCUGCCUCCCGGGCUAACGUUGGGGGUACGGUGAUUUUAUCGUCGCUUAAAGGCUCCUCUUGUGCUUCAUGGAGUCCGGUUCCAACGCUCAUAAAACAGCCCCGUAGAGUGGACCUUUAUUGGCACAUCUAGAGACUUUGUAUGUUCUGUUCCCUAAACGUCAUCCUCACUGUGAAGCUGAUGGUGUAGCUUUAUGUUUUGUUAUUAGGAUGGUUGUAUUUUGGUACUGUGGUAUGUGGUUGCGGCAAACCUUUUUUUUU